rnacentral:rRNA from 1 species
UACGUAGGGAGCGAGCGUUAUCCGGAAUUAUUGGGCGUAAAGGGUGCGUAGACGGCAAUAAAAGUUUCUUGUCAAAUAUCUUGGCUCAACCAAGUAACGCAAGAGAUACUGUAUAGCUAGAGUAUGGAAGAGGUAAGUGGAACUCCAUGUGUGGCGGUAAAAUGCGUAAAUAUAUGGAAGAACACCAGUGGCGAAGGCGGCUUACUAGUCCAAUACUGACGUUGAGGCACGGAAGCGUGGGGAGCAAACA